GCCUGGGUGGCUCAGUGGUUGAGCAUCUGUUUUUGGCCCAGGGUGUGAUCCCAGGUCCUGGGAUCGAGUCCCAUAUCAGGCU
rfam:Canis lupus familiaris chromosome 12, whole genome shotgun sequence.